GUCCCAGUUCGGACUGUAGUCUGCAACCCGACUACACGAAGCUGGAAUCGCUAGUAAUCGCGAAUCAGAACGUCGCGGUGAAUACGUUCCCGGGUCUUGUACACACCGCCCGUCACACCAUGGGAGUCGGGAAUGCCCGAAGCCGGUGACCCAACCGAAAGGAGGGAGCCGUCGAAGGCAGGUCUGAUAACUGGGGUGAAGUCGUAACAAGGUAAC
rnacentral:rRNA from 1 species